rnacentral:misc_RNA from 1 species
UACUCUCACACUCUCCGAUCCUUUGGAUUUGGGGAGCGGUGGACUUGGGUGCUUGCUGCUUUCCUGUGGCUCACCUCAAAUGUGUUAGUGCAUCUCUUGAUUGGACAUAGUACGGCGUGAUAAGUGUCUUCGCCGGCACCUCAUAAGAGGGUGGCCGAUUGGGAGCUCUGUGCUUUCAAACCGUCUUCGGACAACUUCUGACA